UUUUGGACAAUGGGCGCAAGCCUGAUCCAGCAAUGCCGCGUGAGUGAAGAAGGCCUUCGGGUUGUAAAGCUCUUUUGUCAGGGAAGAAACGGUAGGGGCUAAUAUCCCCUGCUAAUGACGGUACCUGAAGAAUAAGCACCGGCUAACUACGUGCCAGCAGCCGCGGUAAUACGUAGGGUGCAAGCGUUAAUCGGAAUUACUGGGCGUAAAGCGUGCGCAGGCGGUUUUGUAAGUCUGUCGUGAGAGCCCCGGGCUCAACCUGGGAAUUGCGAUGGAGACUGCAAGGCUUGAAUCUGGCAGAGGGGGGUAGAAUUCCACGUGUAGCAGUGAAAUGCGUAGAGAUGUGGAGGAAUACCGAUGGCGAAGGCAGCCCCCUGGGAUAACACUGACGCUCAUGCACGAAAGCGUGGGGAGCAAAC
rnacentral:rRNA from 1 species